GACGAACGCUGGCGGCGUGCUUAACACAUGCAAGUCGAACGGAAAGGCCCUGCUUUUGUGGGGUGCUCGAGUGGCGAACGGGUGAGUAACACGUGAGUAACCUGCCCUUGACUUUGGGAUAACUUCAGGAAACUGGGGCUAAUACCGGAUAGGAGCUCCUGCUGCAUGGUGGGGGUUGGAAAGUUUCGGCGGUUGGGGAUGGACUCGCGGCUUAUCAGCUUGUUGGUGGGGUAGUGGCUUACCAAGGCUUUGACGGGUAGCCGGCCUGAGAGGGUGACCGGCCACAUUGGGACUGAGAUACGGCCCAGACUCCUACGGGAGGCAGCGGUGGGGAGUAUUGCACAAUGGGCGGGAGCCUGAUGCAGCAGCGCCGCGUGCGGGAUGACGGCCUUCGGGUUGUAAACCGCUUUCGCCUGAGACGAAGCGUGAGUGACGGUAAUGGGUAAAGAAGCACCGGCUAACUACGUG
rnacentral:rRNA from 1 species